GAAACUCCUGACCUGGCUCAGGUCAAGCUGGGUUGAGCACUGGAAACACCAGAGCUUGGGCAGCACAGUGUCUAUUAGGAAGCAGGUUCAAUUAUGCAGAGGAGAACCCCACAACUAUGCUGAGAUGCAGAGGGACGAGCUGUGCACCAAAGGGUGACAGAGGAGAUGCGAGCGUAGCACCGUAAGAAGGUGCAGAGCAGGAUAUUGGCACCAGAGCUGACUCAGGCAAGGUGAGCCAUGACUAGUGGGCUGAAGCAGGAGUUAUUUUUCAGGGGUUGUAUUAUUGGUGAAAUUAGAAGCAUCCCUUGUUGUUCGUGUUUUACCUGUGGUACCCAGGUCUCAGGGUGGCAACCUGUCAACAGCAGAGGCCAGACAGGCGUGUGGCCAAGGUGAAGGAGUGGGAGAUGGAAAUUGGUGCAGGCAGGCUGUGGUUUUGGGCAGUAUCUCCCCAUGUGUCUUUUGCUUUGGUUUUUGCAGGUGCCACAAGCAGGCUCGGAGGGG